UGGCGGGAACUCUAAGGAGACUCCCGUGAUAAACCGGAGGAAGGUGGGGACGACGUCAAGUCAUCAUGGCCCUUACGGGAUGGGCUACACACGUGCUACAAUGGCGUAUACAGAGUGCUGCAAUACCGCGAGGUGGAGCGAAUCACACAAAGUACGUCGUAGUCCGGAUCGGAGUCUGCAACUCGACUCCGUGAAGUCGGAAUCGCUAGUAAUCGUAGAUCAGAAUGCUACGGUGAAUACGUUCCCGGGCCUUGUACACACCGCCCGUC
rnacentral:rRNA from 1 species